GAGUUGAGCUCGGAAAGCAAUUGGCAAAGGUUAUUCAACCGGAAUUGGCAUCAGCGGAUACAGUAACCUCACAUGAUGCCUCAACCAAUGGACUCAUCGCGUUCAUUAAGAAUAACGCAUAAUUUAUAUGGAAAUCCCCAAAAAAAGGAGAUUUUGCUAGUCAUUUUGCACCGCCUGUAGCCACUUUUUUAGUUGAAAUUUGGUCAGUAUUCCCCACCCAGUUCCUCCCACGCACCCGUUUUAACUCAUGUACUAUAUAAAAUAGAUUGCAUUUUUCUUCAAAUAUUUAAUUUUUAAAAUUUUUUUCUGGAUUUUUGAGGUUAAAACACCCUAAUUAUUUUCAUUUCCUCAAGUUUUUACUCAAAAAUUCAACAUUUGCAAUUUUCCAGCUUCUCUCGAUAAUGGCUGGUUACGCUUUGAAGCGGUUGAUGACAGAGUAUAAAG
rnacentral:sRNA from 1 species